rnacentral:rRNA from 1 species
ACCCGCUGAACUUAAGCAUAUCAAUAAGCGGAGGAAAAGAAACUAACAAGGAUUCCCCUAGUAACGGCGAGUGAAGAGGGAAAAGCUCAAAUUUUGAAUCUGGUGUCUUUGACUCCCGAGUUGUAAUCUAGAGAAGUGUUUUCCGUGUCGGACCGUGUACAAGUUCCCUGGAGCGGGGCGUCAUAGAGGGUGAGAAUCCCGUAUAU